GAGGGCAUAGCUCAAGUGGUAGAGCGCAUGCUUAGCAUGCACGAGGUCCUGGGUUCAAUCCUCAGUACCUCCG
rnacentral:tRNA from 1 species